rnacentral:rRNA from 1 species
UACGGGGGGGGCAAGCGUUGUUCGGAAUUACUGGGCGUAAAGGGCUCGUAGGCGGCCAGCUAAGUCAGACGUGAAAUCCCCAGGCUCAACUUGGGAACUGCGUCUGAUACUGGAUGGCUUGAAUUCGGGAGAGGGAUGCAGAAUUCCAGGUGUAGCGGUGAAAUGCGUAGAUAUCUGGAGGAAUACCGGUGGCGAAGGCGGCAUCCUGGACCGAGAUUGACACUGAUGAGCGAAAGCUAGGGGAGCAAACGGG